rnacentral:lncRNA from 1 species
CCCUAAUCACAAUGAGAUGUGAGAGCAUUUUCUUGUUGCUAGAUAACAACAAACCUUGUCUUGGUUUACCUUUUACAUACUUAACUAUCCUAAGUGUUGCAUCCAUAUGAGACUAUUUUGAUUUCUGCAGAAAUGGGCUGAGUGUUUGAACACUGUAAGAUAUAUAUCUGGUAUGGUAACUGUUAUAUAUAGAAGUUUUCCCACAAGUCUUUGGUAGACAC